AAGUCGUAACAAGGUUUCCGUAGGUGAACCUGCGGAAGGAUCAUUAACACGUUUCGACGUAUUAUACAUCAACCUUUAACAACCUGUGAAUUUCAUCCCCUACCUAAUCCAACGUGUUGUACUCAAUUGAUAUGUAGUAGGAUAGGAUCAGCAAUGAUUCUAUGCAAUUGAUUGAUUACUAAGGUUUCGAAUCUAAAGACACAUUGGAGUAGGCUUUUACUUUUUUCCCCUACUACAAAAAAAUUAAACAAACUACUAUCACCUCUAUAAAAUAAAAAUAUGACUGAUGUAAGUUGUGAGCAGAAAUGCUUUAUCAACACCAUUUAUUUAUAACUAAGCACAACUCUUAGCAAUGGAUAUCUUGGUUCUC
rnacentral:misc_RNA from 1 species